GGGACAACAGUUGGAAACGGCUGCUAAUACCCGAUGUGCCGAGAGGUGAAACAUUUAUGGCCUGUAGAUGAGCUCGCGUCUGAUUAGCUAGUUGGUGGGGUAAGGGCCUACCAAGGCGACGAUCAGUAGCUGGUCUGAGAGGAUGAUCAGCCACACUGGGACUGAGACACGGCCCAGACUCCUACGGGAGGCAGCAGUGGGGAAUUUUCCGCAAUGGGCGCAAGCCUGACGGAGCAACGCCGCGUGGGGGAGGAAGGUUUUUGGACUGUAAACCCCUUUUCUCAGGGAAGAAGAAAGUGACGGUACCUGAGGAAUAAGCCUCGGCUAAUUCCGUGCCAGCAGCCGCGGUAAUACGGGAGAGGCAAGCGUUAUCCGGAAUUAUUGGGCGUAAAGCGUCCGCAGGCGGUUAAUCAAGUCUGUUGUCAAAGCGUGGGGCUCAACCUCAUAAAGGCAAUGGAAACUGAUUGACUAGAGUAUGGUAGGGGUAGCGGGAAUUCCAGGUGUAGCGGUGAAAUGCGUAGAUAUCUGGAAGAACACCAGCGGCGAAAGCGCGCUACUGGGCCAUAACUGACGCUCAUGGACGAAAGCUAGGG
rnacentral:rRNA from 1 species